rnacentral:tRNA from 1 species
GGGCGAGUGCCGGAAUUUAGCAGACGGUCACGACUCAAAAUCGUGUGAGGCAAAACCUCGUGUGGGUGCAAGUCCCACCUCGCCCACCU